rnacentral:lncRNA from 1 species
UUAAUUUUUUAACAUCUGACGUGGGAAAUUUCAGAGAGAGUAUAUUAUACAUUUUUAGAUAUAUAUGGGGUGUGAUUCAGGAUGAAUCUGUAAUAUUCUUUUGAGUGAUAGUAUUGGUGAUUCUUAGCCAAAACAGUGUAGUAUUCCUAAUCGUAACCGUGAUAUUCUGAUUAUAAUUCAAAAGGACACCAUAUGUAAGGUGGAAUAAAAAUGAAAAACAAGGAAUGAUCUAAACAUUCUAUUGAUAGUUUUAUUGCAGAAAUGAUAGAUAAGUAUGGCAAUUCUUAUAAUAAGUUUUUAAAAAUGCCACCAUCCACGGUAAUGCAUUUUCCAACGUGAGUCAGAACGUGAAUGGUUGCUUAGCGGAAGUUAUCCCGACGUUCCUUGAUUUGGGUCCGUUAUGCGAACGAUCAGUUCACGUAUAUGCACUCUCAUAUGAUAAAUCUCAUCCUUCAUCCACAUAAACAAAAAUCCAAAGAAGUGAAGUCUGGCAAGCAUGGUAGUCAGAGAAUGAGACUGCCAUAAUUGAUUUCAAAAUGGAAAUGUGCGAUUAAUAUCCUGGAUAACAUUUCUGGUAUAAUAGGGCGGUGCUCCAUGUUGCAGCUAGGUAUAUAUGACACCGCGUCACUAAGGAUACAUCAUAUAGCUGUUAAGUACUCAUUUUGCAAGAAACUUAAAUAUCUUUCUUCUGUCAAAUGUUCAUUGAAAAUAACUUGCUCAAUCAACAUGUCAUCAAGCAUGCCGCACCAAACGCUGACAGAAAAUAAUUGUUUGGAAAUUGGUUUCCACGGUGCCAGAUAGGUUUCUAUGAUUCCACAGAUAAUUAUUUCUUGUAUUAUUCAUUUUGUUCUAGGUAUGAAAUUCGUCUCAUUUGUGAAAAGUAUGACUGAUGAUGAUAAAAUUGAAAACGCCUGUUGCUUUCUCUCGGGGACACGCUGCAAGUGAAAAAGGUACAAAUCCACUGGGUGCAAUAAGCGCCAUAUGCAAGUUUGUGGCACACUGAGCUGUGCGAAAAUGCGUUGUGCUUGGUGGGCUACAUUGCAUCAAUCUACAAUGUUCUCUACAUCAACAUUUUGUGCUGCUGCACACUCUGAUGACACAUGCACACCAGGAAAGUUCCCUGAUUCCCACAAUUAGUGAAAGAUUUCUGAAAACACUGUUCGAUUUGGUACUCUGCAACGGAAAUCGCCUCAAGUAUUCGUCAGCGGCUGCACUGGAACUGCCAUUACAUUACUUAUACACGAACAAUUUCUGUGUAUUCUGCGUGAGCGAAGAUAUACGGCAUCUGUAAUGCGAUGCAUCACUAACAAUAUCACAGCAAUCAAAUGCACUUCCACAACAUACUUUCACGUUUACAUCACCUUCUACAGCUGUCAGUCAGUCAUUACUAUAUACCUCAUUCAGCACCAUUAAUACGUAUUAAGCCGCGCAACUACUAACUACAAAUUGCUGUCUCGGUUACCAUUAGAAAUAGUGCCCAUGUUCAUAUGACUUUUUUGCUUUAGAAUCAUCAAUCUAUCAAGAAAUAUUGCAAAUUCCUCCUGAAUCGCGUGCAUGUUUGUAUAUUUGUGUGCGUGUGUGCGCGCGCGCGCGCGUUGCUACCAAGCUUCUCAGUACUU